rnacentral:rRNA from 2 species
CGAACGCUGGCGGCGUGCCUAAUACAUGCAAGUCGAACGAACUCUGGUAUUGAUUGGUGCUUGCAUCAUGAUUUACAUUUGAGUGAGUGGCGAACUGGUGAGUAACACGUGGGAAACCUGCCCAGAAGCGGGGGAUAACACCUGGAAACAGAUGCUAAUACCGCAUAACAACUUGGACCGCAUGGUCCGAGCUUGAAAGAUGGCUUCGGCUAUCACUUUUGGAUGGUCCCGCGGCGUAUUAGCUAGAUGGUGGGGUAACGGCUCACCAUGGCAAUGAUACGUAGCCGACCUGAGAGGGUAAUCGGCCACAUUGGGACUGAGACACGGCCCAAACUCCUACGGGAGGCAGCAGUAGGGAAUCUUCCACAAUGGACGAAAGUCUGAUGGAGCAACGCCGCGUGAGUGAAGAAGGGUUUCGGCUCGUAAAACUCUGUUGUUAAAGAAGAACAUAUCUGAGAGUAACUGUUCAGGUAUUGACGGUAUUUAACCAGAAAGCCACGGCUAACUACGUGCCAGCAGCCGCGGUAAUACGUAGGUGGCAAGCGUUGUCCGGAUUUAUUGGGCGUAAAGCGAGCGCAGGCGGUUUUUUAAGUCUGAUGUGAAAGCCUUCGGCUCAACCGAAGAAGUGCAUCGGAAACUGGGAAACUUGAGUGCAGAAGAGGACAGUGGAACUCCAUGUGUAGCGGUGAAAUGCGUAGAUAUAUGGAAGAACACCAGUGGCGAAGGCGGCUGUCUGGUCUGUAACUGACGCUGAGGCUCGAAAGUAUGGGUAGCAAACAGGAUUAGAUACCCUGGUAGUCCAUACCGUAAACGAUGAAUGCUAAGUGUUGGAGGGUUUCCGCCCUUCAGUGCUGCAGCUAACGCAUUAAGCAUUCCGCCUGGGGAGUACGGCCGCAAGGCUGAAACUCAAAGGAAUUGACGGGGGCCCGCACAAGCGGUGGAGCAUGUGGUUUAAUUCGAAGCUACGCGAAGAACCUUACCAGGUCUUGACAUACUAUGCAAAUCUAAGAGAUUAGACGUUCCCUUCGGGGACAUGGAUACAGGUGGUGCAUGGUUGUCGUCAGCUCGUGUCGUGAGAUGUUGGGUUAAGUCCCGCAACGAGCGCAACCCUUAUUAUCAGUUGCCAGCAUUAAGUUGGGCACUCUGGUGAGACUGCCGGUGACAAACCGGAGGAAGGUGGGGAUGACGUCAAAUCAUCAUGCCCCUUAUGACCUGGGCUACACACGUGCUACAAUGGAUGGUACAACGAGUUGCGAACUCGCGAGAGUAAGCUAAUCUCUUAAAGCCAUUCUCAGUUCGGAUUGUAGGCUGCAACUCGCCUACAUGAAGUCGGAAUCGCUAGUAAUCGCGGAUCAGCAUGCCGCGGUGAAUACGUUCCCGGGCCUUGUACACACCGCCCGUCACACCAUGAGAGUUUGUAACACCCAAAGUCGGUGGGGUAACCUUUUAGGAACCAGCCGCCUAAGGUGGGACAGAUGAUUAGGGUG